rnacentral:rRNA from 3 species
CUGCUAUUGGGAUUCGACUAAGCCAUGCGAGUCUAUGGUUUCGGCCAUGGCGGACGGCUCAUUAACACGUGGUUAACAUACCCUCAGGUGGGGGAUAACCUUGGGAAACUGAGGAUAAUACCCCAUAGAAAAAGCAGUCUGGAACGAUUCUUUUUCGAAAGCAUAUGCGCCUGAGGAUUGGACUGCGCUCGAUUAGGUAGUUGGUGGGGUAAUGGCCCACCAAGCCUACGAUCGGUACGGGCCUUGAGAGAGGAAGCCCGGAGAUGGGGACUGAGACACGGCCCCAGGCCCUACGGGGCGCAGCAGGCGCGAAACCUCCGCAAUGCACGAAAGUGCGACGGGGGGAUCCCAAGUGCUCAUGCACAGCAUGGGCUUUUAUCAAGUGUAAACAGCUUGAGGAAUAAGGGCUGGGCAAGUUCGGUGCCAGCAGCCGCGGUAACACCGACGGCCCGAGUGGUGGCCACUUUUAUUGGGCCUAAAGCGUCCGUAGCCGGUCCAGUAAGUCCUUGUUUAAAUCCUGCGGCUUAACCGCAGGACUGGCAGGGAUACUGCUGGACUUGGGACCGGGAGAGGACAAGGGUACUUCAGGGGUAGCGGUGAAAUGUGUUGAUCCUUGAAGGACCACCUAUGGCGAAGGCACUUGUCUGGAACGGGUCCGACGGUGAGGGACGAAAGCCAGGGGCGCGAACCGGAUUAGAUACCCGGGUAGUCCUGGCCGUAAACUUUGCGAACUAGGUGUUAGGUGGGCCCCGUGCCCAUCUAGUGCCGAAGGGAAGCCGUUAAGUUCGCCGCCUGGGGAGUACGGUCGCAAGACUGAAACUUAAAGGAAUUGGCGGGGGAGCACCACAACGGGUGGAGCCUGCGGUUUAAUUGGAUUCAACGCCGGGCAUCUCACCAGGAGCGACAGCAUGAUGACGGCCAGGUUGACGACCUUGCCUGAAGCGCUGAGAGGUGGUGCAUGGCCAUCGUCAGCUCGUACCGCGAGGCGUCCUGUUAAGUCAGGUAACGAGCGAGACCCGUGCCCUAUGUUGCUACUUUUUCCUCCGGGAGAAAGGCACUCAUAGGGGACCGCUGGCGCUAAGUCAGAGGAAGGAGCGGGCAACGAUAGGUCCGCAUGCCCCGAAUCUCCUGGGCUACACGCGGGCUACAAUGGCUAGGACAAUGGGCCGCAACCCUGAAAAGGGACGCAAAUCUCCUAAACCUAGUCGUAGUUCGGAUCGUGGGCUGUAACUCGCCCACGUGAAGCUGGAAUCCGUAGUAAUCGCAGUUCAUAAUACUGCGGUGAAUGUGUCCCUGCUCCUUGCACACACCGCCCGUCACACCACCCGAGUUGGGUUGAAGUGAGGCCUUGGCCUUUGGCUAGGGUCGAACUUGGGCUCAGCGAGGGGGGUG